GGAAAGAGAUUAAUGGUUCAGAGCAUUGGUUCUCGACUCCGAAAGCCUGGGUUUGAAUCCCAGCUCUUUUUG
rnacentral:tRNA from 1 species